rnacentral:misc_RNA from 1 species
UAAGAAACUGGAAGCUGGGUUCUUCGCUAAGGACAGAAAGGUAUGCUUGAAUACGUCGGAGUUUAGCAGUGUGGCUGAAUUCUAGGGUCGAGCUAACCUCGUUCCUAGCGAUGGUUACCCUUAGUAAAGCUGUCUGACAGUGCUGUCGAUAGWAGCCAUUCAGUCGAAGUAAAACACGGCAGGUAUGAAUGGYUUGACGGACUGGUGUAGGCCAUCAGACUAGCRGGGAUGGAUAGGCGAAGCUUGUGAAUCGUCUAUAUUUUAUCCAUUAAACCGCGGCUUGA